GUGCUUGCUUUGGCAGCACAUAUACUAAAAUUGGAACGAUACAGAGAAGAUUAGCAUGGCCCCUGUGAUUUAAAAAAGUAUUAAAAAUUUUA
rnacentral:snRNA from 1 species